rnacentral:lncRNA from 1 species
GUUACCUUUUGAGGCAAGAUGGGGUAUUGGGUGCGGGGUAUGAUGGGACAUUGGUGAUAAUACCAUGGUACGUACUUACAAGAAAAAAACAAAAAGAGGAGAGUGGUCGAGAGAUGCUAUGAAAACAGCCAUAGAUAAAGUGACAUCGUCAGAACCCUGGGUAGGCUGCCAGAUCUGUGGAUGUUGAGCUCAAAAUGCUUGUGCUAGGGUGGAAAAUGAAGAUCUGGAGCAAAUACACAUUUUUGUUUGUUUUGUGAGAAUUAAUUAGCAUCACCAUCAUGCUCCAAUUCCAUUACCCCAUCAUACCCCAUAGUAUGGGGCAAGAUGGUUUUUCAUAAUGUUCUUAUUAAUGGCUAAUUGUAGAAAAAUGUGAUAGGUUGAUUUUCCAAAGAUUGUACCAAAUCAUAGUUAGAUUAACGACGUAACGUGCCAUCAAUUAAAAAUAGUAAUAAACGUAGUAAUUAUGUUGUA